rnacentral:rRNA from 1 species
AUGUUACCCAUCUCGCUUGACCUGGCUGCCCACAAUUACUACCAUUGGCGCCAUCUCUUCCACAUCCACCUUGGUCGCUGCGGUCUACGCCACCAUAUUCAUCCAUCCUCUGUGCCGCAGCCUGCCAAUCCUCGUUGGGUGAAGGACGAUCUCACGAUCAUCCAAUGGAUUUAUACUCGGAUCUCCACCGAGCUUUUCAAUCUUGUCUCCAACGACGAUGCCACUGCAGCCGAUCUUUGGGCCGCCCUUCAACAGUUGUUUCAAGACAACUCCGACGCCCGCAUCAACGCUCUCCACACCGAGCUCCGCACC